rnacentral:lncRNA from 1 species
UUUUCUUUUCUUCUUCUCUCUAUACGUUGGUGUUCUAACCAAUAAUCACCGAUGCGAUAUUCUAUCCGAUUGAUUCAGGAACCAACUAACGAAUGCCAAAGUGCUGUACUUUGUGAAUUUCGUUAAACGAAUGCCAAAGUACUGUCUAAACAAGACUAUACUUUGUGAAUUUCGUUAAGGUUCGAAUCUCAUGACCAUUGUUAGGUUUGAUUAGGUUUAACACUAAUACGUAUUCCAUUCUGUUAAACUAAAUGUUUAACUACUCGAAACUCUACACCAUACACUUAGAAAUCAAAAUGGAUGCUUAAUCAUCAGAAGAUUCAUAACUAUAAGUAGAUGUGUAAUCAUCGGAAGACUUAGAAUCAAGACUAUAUGUUAACAAGGUGAUUAUAGUAGAUUGGAAUAAGAGGGAUGAUACUGCACAGAAAGGCUUAAAGAAGUGGCUUAUUUUAUCAAUUAAAUUAAGAAAACAUGAUUUCAUAUAUUUGGGUUUAUCCCUUAUUAAAGCUACCUUUGUAAAACAUGGGUUUUAUCCUAUCUAUUUAAAUAAAUGAAAUCCGGUGUUUUCUAAACUCUGAUAUUUUUCCUAACUCACGGUCCUGAUGAACAUUUCCGCUGCAAUGUUUUUAAAAUAACCACCGGUACCACAUGACUGCUCGCGGCUCCCGUCCAGGGUGUGGUCGUGGGCCAUGACAGAAGGUGGUAUCAGAGCCACUUAUUUAAGCAAUUGGGUGUUGUAAUAAUACCUAAGCUUAAACGAAAGAGUUAGGAAAUUGUUAUUAACUGGUAGCAACAGGAUAGAAUUUAGACUUGAACUUAAGAAAUAUGCCUUAGUAUAAGCUUCGAGAUAAGCUAAUUACUUGCGUAGAUAAAAUGUGAUGGGUGAUUAGUAUGCCGUGAGGAUGAUGACUAGAAUGUUGCAAGUAUGGUAAAUAAGCGAUAACACUUGGCCACUGUUAUUUCUUGUUUAUUGGUAAUACUGGAUUCUAGAAUAUGAUCCAUCAUGUGAAUACUAAUUACCUUGUUCUUUGAUAAAAGCUCUAAUAAAAGAUUCAUUUUUAAUCAUCAAGAUUCUAUUUAUGGGAAAUACAAAUUACCUCUCCGGUGAGAACCGGGUAAGAUGGGGUAUAGGAUAUGUCAAACAAGUGACAGAAUUCCCUAAAUAGUAUCAUGACCUGAUGUCUGACUUGUCUUUGGAAAUAUGAAUCUGUUAAAUAUAUUGACCUUAUGAAUGGUAUGUAUAUUACAUUAUGUGAAAUAUAUGAUUAUAUAGAUAUCUAUAAGGAAAUCCAAAACCAUAAGGAUUGACAAUUUAGAAUAAAUCACAAGCAUAUGUGUCAAUAAUAAUUAUAGAUUUCUUUAUCAGAAAUCUCUCCUAUACAUCUAUAAUUCCGAUAUCGAACAUUAUUUCGUUUGAUCAUCUGUCUCUUAAACUCGUGCUACAAGAAGUAUAUGAACCCUUUAUAUUGGGAUGCCAUCGAAAGUAUAAAAAUUCCCUUUGCGUUACCUCAGAUCAUUAACGCAUUAGGAAACCUGUAGAUAAAGUUGUGCUAGGCACAAGACGUCUUAAAACUUACGCUAAUAAGAGUAAUUCUACUUUCUUUAAGAACUCUUGCAAAGAUAAGAGUAACCACGACUAGAUGCACUUACAAAGACUUUCUUCUCCUAUAAUCCUACUAAGAUUACCAGAAGCUGUUACGAAAUACCUGGGCUGCAAAGGACUAAAGUUGUCCUAACCAUUAGUAUAAUGAAGUAAUGUAUGCUUCAAAAUUUAGACAUUUAGAUAGUGAAACCCGAUCUUCGAAACACAGGAUC